rnacentral:rRNA from 1 species
UGGGGAAUUUUGGACAAUGGGCGAAAGCCUGAUCCAGCAAUGCCGCGUGUGUGAAGAAGGCCUUCGGGUUGUAAAGCACUUUUGUCCGGAAAGAAAUGGCUCUGGUUAAUACCCUGGGGUCGAUGACGGUACCGGAAGAAUAAGGACCGGCUAACUACGUGCCAGCAGCCGCGGUAAUACGUAGGGUCCAAGCGUUAAUCGGAAUUACUGGGCGUAAAGCGUGCGCAGGCGGUUGUGCAAGACCGAUGUGAAAUCCCCGAGCUUAACUUGGGAAUUGCAUUGGUGACUGCACGGCUAGAGUGUGUCAGAGGGGGUAGAAUUCCACGUGUAGCAGUGAAAUGCGUAGAGAUGUGGAGGAAUACCGAUGGCGAAGGCAGCCCCCUGGGAUAACACUGACGCUCAUGCACGAAAGCGUGGGAGCAAACAGGAUUAGAUACCCUGGUAGUCCACGCCCUAAACGAUGUCAACUAGUUGUUGGGAUUCAUUUCCUUAGUAACGUAGCUAACGCGUGAAGUUGA